rnacentral:rRNA from 1 species
UACGUAGGGUGCAGGCGUUAAUCGGAAUUACUGGGCGUAAAGGGUGCGCAGGCGGCGUCGCAAGUCAGGCGUGAAAUCCCCGGGCUUAACCUGGGAACUGCACUUGAAACUACGAUGCUGGAGUAUGGCAGAGGGAGGUGGAAUUCCACGUGUAGCGGUGAAAUGCGUAGAGAUGUGGAGGAACACCGAUGGCGAAGGCAGCCUCCUGGGCCAAUACUGACGCUCAUGCACAAAAGCGUGGGGAGCAAACAGG